rnacentral:rRNA from 1 species
UGCAACUCGCCUGCACGAAGUCGGAAUUGCUAGUAAUCGUAGGUCAGCAUACUACGGUGAAUACGUUCCCGGGCCUUGUACACACCGCCCGUCACACCAUGGGAGCCGGUAAUACCCGAAGUCAGUAGUCCAACCUCGUGAGGACGCUGCCGAAGGUAGGAUUGGCGACUGGGGUGAAGUCGUAACAAGGUACC